UCGUCUCGCCAUGUUCCCUGUCGUAUUGUCUCACUACUGCUGCGCCCGACUGCACACAAGGCUUCAGUAUUAGCAUAAGGUCUUUGGCUCUUGGACAAUCUUUCUCUCAAUUAUUGUUGAUUUAUAUUGUAUUCUAGUGUGUUAUCUUACAUUCCGAUACUAUAUUUAGUAAAUUAGUUUGUUUCUCCUCAGAUUGUUGCCGCUGUUUUUAAUUAUUUUGGGGUCCCUUGUUUCCUUUCCUGGAGGCGCGGAUUUUGUGAAAUCCCUCCACCCCACUAGUCACGGAACCGGGCCGGACCAGCCCUUUAAACCGUUGACAAUUGGACAAUUUAAUAAGUAGCUGAAUUAAUUAAAAACAAAAUGUAUAAAAUUAGUCCUAAAUGGGAGAAACAAUAUUACAUUUCAGGUAGUGCUGUGUUACAUUUACAUAUACUAUGGCUGAGAUCAUAAUUGGCCAAAGCAAAAGAAGCAGUAAUAUGUACACAAAGAACACUCCAAUCCCCCUUGAAAAAUAUUCUAAUAAUACAAAACAAUAUGUUAAUUGUUGGGAGUAAUGGAUUUCAUUAGACGAACAUCCGCUUGCAAGUCAGAGAACCAGAAUGAAAGACAGCUGUGCAUGCAUACACAUGCAAAAUCAGUGUGCUUUAGUGUUCACUCUGUGCCUGUAUGGAGUAUGCUGCUACACCUAUUAACAAGACUUAUUUCAAAUGGCAAUUUUUCAAUACCAUUCUGUGAAGAAGCAUGAUUCAGUCCUAGAUACUAUCUCAAACAGCAGUCGUAUUUAUUUACAGUUUAUCUUUAGAUAGCAAAAUAUGAGUCAAAUUAUUUAUUAUAAGUUAUUAUUCAAGUAAAUGUUUCUUUCCUGGAAUACAAACAAACAAAAAGGCAACAGUGGAAGUAAAAGUAAAUAAUUUUCUUUUAUUCAAAAAAGUGAGACUGAGAUUGCUCUUUUCUUGUUUCAUUUCUCUUCUUCCUUGUUUCAGUUCUCUUCUUUGGAUGACUUUCCCCAGAUUUUCUCCAAUCACUGUAAAAAUGUGAUGAAUCUUUCCUGUGUGUUGUACCACAUUCUUGUACAGCUAUUGACAAACUGAUUCAGGUUCCUGCUCAAAAUUCAACAGCUGGCUUUCAAAAACCUUGUAGGCUAAAUCUCCUUUUAAUAUAUUUAUGAGGAUACAUUUAUCUGUGUGUGUGAAAUUAUGAAUGUAGUUGCUUUGAUAUUCUAGGCCAGAACCAGAAACUAGGGCUGAUUCUCUUGCCCAGUGAUUACGAUAUCUGCGUGUAAAAUUGUAUUCUGCCUCUUUCUGAGACAGCCUAUUUUAUAGAAGCUUAAGGUAUUUUUUUCCUGCAAAUUAUGAAGAAAAUGUUUAUGAAUUUCCUCAAACUAAGGAAAGUGUGUGCAUCUCCAAUAUCAUAGUCGAGUGACAUACUGUUCUGGUACUACAUUACUAUAGAUAUGUUUGAGGAAUAAAGAGCAGCUAAUGUUUCCUGCUUCUCUUGACCAUCUAAAUGCAUUCUGCAAAUUCAUGAAUGUCUUAACCACGUUUCUGGCAAAUAAACUACUGACAAAUAACAUUACCCUUGUAAUGUUAUUGGACAACCCUGGCUGUAAAGGUAAAACCUCGGCAUGCUUCUACUCAGAAAACAGCUCUGUAAAAUUUGCAUUGUGAGGCUCUGGAUUUAUUGUCUCUCAGGGACUGCAGAGAAAGUUUUCCUAAGUGUAAGUACUGGAAACUAUGAAAGCUGCUUUGAUUUCUUUCUGACUUCUACAUUAACACAAUUAUUAAAGACUCUGUC
ensembl:lncRNA